GAUGAACGCUGGCGGCGUGCCUAAUACAUGCAAGUCGAGCGAACAGACGAGGAGCUUGCUCCUCUGACGUUAGCGGCGGACGGGUGAGUAACACGUGGAUAACCUACCUAUAAGACUGGGAUAACUUCGGGAAACCGGAGCUAAUACCGGAUAAUAUAUUGAACCGCAUGGUUCAAUAGUGAAAGACGGUUUUGCUGUCACUUAUAGAUGGAUCCGCGCCGCAUUAGCUAGUUGGUAAGGUAACGGCUUACCAAGGCAACGAUGCGUAGCCGACCUGAGAGGGUGAUCGGCCCCACUGGAACUGAGACACGGUCCAGACUCCUACGGGAGGCAGCAGUAGGGAAUCUUCCGCAAUGGGCGAAAGCCUGACGGAGCAACGCCGCGUGAGUGAUGAAGGUCUUCGGAUCGUAAAACUCUGUUAUUAGGGAAGAACAAAUGUGUAAGUAACUAUGCACGUCUUGACGGUACCUAAUCAGAAAGCCACGGCUAACUACGU
rnacentral:rRNA from 1 species